rnacentral:tRNA from 1 species
GGAAGGAUGGCCGAGUGGUUUAAGGCACUGGUCUUGAAAGCCAGCAAUCCGAAAGGGUUCUAGAGUUCAAAUCUCUAUCCUUCCACCA